CAGCAGCCGCGGGAAUAUGGAGGGAGCUAGCGUUGUUCGGAAUUACUGGGCGUAAAGCGCACGUAGGCGGUUAUUCAAGUCAGAGGUGAAAGCCCGGGGCUCAACCCCGGAACUGCCUUUGAAACUAGAUGACUGGAAUCUUGGAGAGGUCAGUGGAAUUCCGAGUGUAGAGGUGAAAUUCGUAGAUAUUCGGAAGAACACCAGUGGCGAAGGCGACUGACUGGACAAGUAUUGACGCUGAGGUGCGAAAGCGUGGGGAGCAAACAGGAUUAGAUACCCCCGUAGUCCCUGUCUCUUAUAC
rnacentral:rRNA from 1 species